CGGCAGCACAGAAAGGACAAACGAGGAACAGACAUGUUUGCGUUUCUGAGAAGGUGAUGGUGGUUGUUGUUGUUGUUGUUGUUGUUGUUGUUGUUGUUGUUGUGGUUGUUGUUGUUGUUGUUGUUGUUGUUGUGGUUGUUGUUGUUGUUGUUGUUGUUGUUGUGGUUGUUGUUGUUGUGGUUGUUGUUGUUGUUGUUGUUGUGGUUGUUGUUGUUGUUGUGGUUGUUGUUGUUGUUGUGGUUGUUGUUGUUGUUGUUGUUGUUGUUGUUGUUGUUGUUGUUGUUGUUGUUGUUGUUGUUGUUCUGAAGGAUGAUUCUGAUAUUAAAGACCUGAACUAUGUGGGCUCAUACUCCUCCUGGAGGGGCUAAGAACUCUUUUUGACUCUUUGGAGCUCUCGAGGAACCCUGUUAGAACCUGGUUUGUAGUCUUUGAGAGCUUUGUUAGACCUUCUUUAGGGCUCUGUCAGAACUCUAGAACUCUUCAAGAACCCCAAGUGAGUCCAGUUGUUAGAACUAUUAUAAAAGUCUGUCUGAGCUCUGUUUUAAAGCUCGGUUAGGUCUGUGUCUGAGGGUUUAGUGAUAACUGUUGAACUCUGAGAACCUCAUCAGAAGUCUGCUGGAACACUUGGAGACCUUGGGAGGUGUGGUCUACAUGGGUUUGGGGAACUCUUUCAGAAAUCUUCUGAUCUGUUUUAGAGCUCUGAGGUUUUGUGGUCCUUCCACUGAGAUCUCUCGCUCACACAGUCUGAGACGGUUUUAACAGGACAGGUGAGUCUUCCUACCUGGACCUAGAUCUUCAGACCUGACUGUGUAGAUGCUGCACACACAUGAAGAGACAAACAGACACCAGAUGGAUCUGUAGUGGGAACACACGGAUACUGGUCUGUGGUUCAACAGUCGAAUGAUUGAAAUGAGGAGUCCAGCCCACACACACACACACACACACACACACACACACACACACACACACACACACACACACACACACACACACACACACACUGUGGAUUGUGUGGUGGUACACUGACGCUCUCGUCCCCUCACUCUCACUCUCACAAAGGCCCCUCUCUCUCUCUCUCUCUCUCUCUCCCUCUCUCUCUCUCUCUCUGUCUCUCGCUCUCUUUCUCUCCCCCCCUCUCUCCCUCUCUCUCAUGUGGACCUACAUACCACCGCCCUGAUGUCAGUUUGUUCUCCCUCAGCUGAAGGACACUCCUCGUUUGUUCUCAGAGUCUCUGUAGACACUGUUGUGGUCUGAUCUUCGAGGUUCGACCAUGAGAAAGUAUUUCCUCAUAUUAGUCAAUGAUUCGUCCUCAUCACCGGCUUCAGUGAUCAGGAGUGUCAACAGAUAAUCAAUGAUUAUUUAGUAAUAGAUUUGUGGAGCCCAAACUUCUGAUGACCUUCUCUGUGGUGACCUCCUGACACCAUCUCCUCUAAAACCGUCUCAGUGUUCGGUUCUUCGUCUUUACACAGCUUUGACUUUCUCCUCAGAGUUGAACUUCUGUGUUUUAUUUUAUACUUUAAUUCUUCAAACUCAGUCUUUAUCGAGUGUAUACUGACGCUCUGCUGUAAACCGCGCUCAUGUUCGUCAGCGUCUCCACGCUCAAACGUCCUUCUGAAGACUUUGAGAUGUUUUCACAGACUGACUGUCCCGAGGUUUCUAUCUCUCAGACUGAAGGUCUCCUAACAAACUGAUGUUUACGGGACAGUGAGCUCGCUCGGAUUAGAUUAUGAGGAAAACAAACAAACAGGAGGUCAAAGUUCAGCUGUAAAUGAACGUGUUGAAUCACUCUGAGGUGAACGUCUGCACAGGUGAACGUAUGCACAGGUGUGUUUGUAACUGCAGGUAUUUGAGUCUUCAUGGUCAUGACCCAUCAGCUGAUACGUGAGGUCAUCCUCAGUUAACAGAUGAGGUCAUAACAGUGACGGCGGCGUUGGUAUCAGCUGCAGCACUCACAGUCCUGACUGAUGAAGAUGAAGAAGAAGAAGGUCAAACACGGACCGCAGAUAAGUGAUGGUGUGUUUUUGAGCUUCACUGUGUUCAUGUCUCCAACACGAUAAGACAACGAGGACAUCAGAGUCUCAAAGACGGUCUCAUCACAUCUGAAUCUGAGACAAACAGAAAAAAACGUCUGAUGGAUGUUUGAGUUUCCUGUUUGACACUGAAGAAGACAAACGCCGAGCUGAUCGUUGUCGGGUAAAAGAGCUCUUUGUUUUGUUUGUUUCUUUAUUUUUUAAUUUUCUUUAUUUUCUUUAUUUUUUUUAUUUUCUUUAUUUAAUUUUUCUUUAUUUUUGAAUUUUCUUUGUUUUUUAUUUUUUAAUUUUCUUUAUUUUCUUAAUUUUUUUAUUUUUUAAUUUUCUUUAUUUUUUUUAUUUUCUUUGUUUAUUUUCUCUUUUUUCUUUAUUUUCUUUAUUUAAUUUUUUCUUUAUUUUUGAAUUUUCUUUUUAUUUUCUUUAUCUUUAUUUUUUUAUUUUUUAUUUUCUUUAUUUAUUUUUUCUUUAUUUUUGAAUUUUCUUCAAGUUUUAAUUUUCUUUAUUUUCUUAAUUUUUUUAUUUUCUUUAUUUUCUUUAUUUCCUUUAUUUUCUUUAUUUCCUUUAUUUUCUUUAUUUUUUUAUUUUCUUUAUUUUUUAUUUUCUUUAUUUUUUUUUUUUCUUUAUUUUUUUUUUCUUUAUUUUUGAAUUUUCUUUAAGUUUUAAUUUUCUUUGUUUCCUUUGUUUUCUUUUUUUCUUUAUUUUCUUUGUUUCUUUAUUUUCUUAAUUUUCUUAUUUUCUUUAUUUUCUUUCUCAGUGUUUCUGAGUUUGUGAAGCUUCAGUCUCCAGGACACAGAGAGGCCAACAGAGGCGGAGUCAGCACACACAGCGCCCCCUAAACCACAGAAACAGAACUGCAGCUGACAGGCUGUGAGUCUCCAAAUCCUGGUCCAAGUCCUCCUGUAAGAGGAUCAGAACUUCUAUAUUUACAUUCACCACAGCGAGGAACUAAGCAGAUUAGUGAGCAGAGAUACGGGGAAGGAACACCAGGACCAGAACAGGGACUCCCAAACACCUGAGAGACCCUCAGACCCUGUUAUCAGGACUCAGACCACAGCAGACCGAGACAGGGUCAGGUCUCCUUCAGGACCCAGAAUCUCAGAUCUAAUCUCAGCGUUUUAAAGAAGAACUGGAAUAAAAUGAAG
rnacentral:lncRNA from 1 species